rnacentral:rRNA from 1 species
UACGAAGGGAGCUAGCGUUAUCCGGAUUCACUGGGUUUAAAGGGUGCGUAGGUGGGCUAGUAAGUCCGUGGUGAAAUCUCCGAGCUUAACUCGGAAACUGCCGUGGAUACUAUUAGUCUUGAAUAUCGUUGAGGUAAGCGGAAUAUGUCAUGUAGCGGUGAAAUGCUUAGAUAUGACAUAGAACACCGAUAGCGGAGGCAGCUUACUAAGCGAUUAUUGACACUGAGGCACGAAAGCGUGGGGAUCAAACAGG